rnacentral:rRNA from 1 species
CAAUUUAAACAACGAAGAGUUUGAUCCUGGCUCAGGAUGAACGCUAGCGACAGGCUUAACACAUGCAAGUCGAGGGGCAGCACAGGUAGCAAUACCGGGUGGCGACCGGCGCACGGGUGAGUAACGCGUAUGCAACUUACCUAUCAGAGGGGGAUAACCCGGCGAAAGUCGGACUAAUACCGCAUGAAGCAGGGGCCCCGCAUGGGGAUAUUUGCUAAAGAUUCAUCGCUGAUAGAUAGGCAUGCGUUCCAUUAGGCAGUUGGCGGGGUAACGGCCCACCAAACCGACGAUGGAUAGGGGUUCUGAGAGGAAGGUCCCCCACAUUGGUACUGAGACACGGACCAAACUCCUACGGGAGGCAGCAGUGAGGAAUAUUGGUCAAUGGCCGAGAGGCUGAACCAGCCAAGUCGCGUGAGGGAUGAAGGUUCUAUGGAUCGUAAACCUCUUUUAUAAGGGAAUAAAGUGCGGGACGUGUCCCGUUUUGUAUGUACCUUAUGAAUAAGGAUCGGCUAACUCCGUGCCAGCAGCCGCGGUAAUACGGAGGAUCCGAGCGUUAUCCGGAUUUAUUGGGUUUAAAGGGUGCGUAGGCGGCCUUUUAAGUCAGCGGUGAAAGUCUGUGGCUCAACCAUAGAAUUGCCGUUGAAACUGGGGGGCUUGAGUAUGUUUGAGGCAGGCGGAAUGCGUGGUGUAGCGGUGAAAUGCAUAGAUAUCACGCAGAACCCCGAUUGCGAAGGCAGCCUGCCAAGCCAUGACUGACGCUGAUGCACGAAAGCGUGGGGAUCAAACAGGAUUAGAUACCCUGGUAGUCCACGCAGUAAACGAUGAUCACUAGCUGUUUGCGAUACACUGUAAGCGGCACAGCGAAAGCGUUAAGUGAUCCACCUGGGGAGUACGCCGGCAACGGUGAAACUCAAAGGAAUUGACGGGGGCCCGCACAAGCGGAGGAACAUGUG